rnacentral:rRNA from 1 species
UACGGAGGGUGCAAGCGUUAUCCGGAUUCACUGGGUUUAAAGGGUGCGUAGAUGGCUUUGUAAGUCAGUGGUGAAAUGCCGCAGCUCAACUGCGGAACUGCCAUUGAUACUGCUUAGCUUGAAUCACGUCGAGGUGGAUGGAAUAUUACAUGUAGCGGUGAAAUGCUUAGAUAUGUAAUAGAACACCGAUUGCGAAGGCAGUUCACUAGGCCGUGUAUUGACACUGAGGCACGAAAGCGUGGGGAUCAAACAGG